GUAGUGGACCGCUCAGAGCCGUGUGGAGUUUGUUACAGAGAGUAGUGGCGUCAAGGGUCAUUCAGGGCCACGUGGAGCUCGUUGCGGAGAGUGGAGUGAUGUCCGUUGUCGGGACUUACCAGAGAGUGAUGGAGCUGCAUGAAAUCUAUUGCAGGGAGUGGAGCAGGAGGGCGGCUUUUGUCACGACUCAUCAGAGAGCGAUGGAGCUGCAUGGAAUCUAUUGCAGGGAGUGGA
rnacentral:lncRNA from 1 species